CUUCAUUCUGUGCGAAUGUGGACAAACAGACAUUUACAUUUGCGCGGCCCCAGAUUCUGAAACACGAUGGCAUCCACUUUACCAAGAUGAGCUGUUAAGAGUAACAAUGUCUGGAAUCAAUCGAUCCUCUUCGGAGAGGGGGAGUGUUUUCCCACACAUGACGCUGGCCCGUUCACUCUUUGCCUCUGCAGCAGAGUGUGGGCAGUGCAAUCUCACACUGCUCUCCUGCCUGGCCUGAUUGUCGCUGCUGUGAACUCAGCUCUCCGCUGUUUCCUUUCCAGAAGCGCUGAUUCGGAUUUUCUUAAUAAACAUAAAUAAAACUUUGAUGUUGGUCAGCA